CUCCUUUCUAACCCCAUUUAACCCUCUUACUUUCUCUCAAUCAUAGAGAAAAACCAAAAGCCACCCCACCCACAAAGCAUGAAGAGACACCAAAGACCCAUUCAUUCUCUGUUUUUCCAGCACCAUGGCCAUCAUCUAGAAUGGGUAAUCCCAACCACACCAUUAAACCGUUGUCUCGCUCAUUUUGGGUUCUUCAAAGAAUUUGUUGGAUAAGGUAUAUUUGCCACUGCGCUAAUAUGUGGUUAACUUAUUUACAAAUGUUGUGGG